GAGUUUGAAUCCUGGCUCAGAGUGAACGCNUGGCGGCGUGCUUAACACAUGCAAGUCGAACGGUAACAGGAAGAAGCUUGCUUCUUUGCUGACGAGUGGCGCACGGGUGAGUAAUGUAUAGCUAACAUGCCCUAUAGAGGGGGAUAGCCACUGGAAACGGUGAUUAAUACCCUAUACUCCUUCUUUAUUAAUUAAAGUUGGGAAAGUUUUUCGCUAUAGGAUUGGGCUAUAUUGUAUCAGUUAGUUGGUGGGGUAAUGGCCUACCAAGACAAUGACGCAUAGCGGGUCUGAGAGGAUGAUCCGCCACACUGGAACUGAGACACGGUCCAGACUCCUACGGGAGGCAGCAGUGGGGAAUAUUGCACAAUGGAGGAAACUCUGAUGCAGCAACGCCGCGUGGAGGAUGACGCAUUUCGGUGUGUAAACUCCUUUUAUAUGGGAAGAUAAUGACGGUACCAUAUGAAUAAGCACCGGCUAACUCCGUGCCAGCAGCCGCGGUAAUACGGAGGGUGCAAGCGUUACUCGGAAUCACCGGGCGUAAAGCGCGCGCAGGCGGCUUAAUAAGUUAGAAGUGAAAUCCUACAGCUCAACUGUAGAACUGCUUCUAAAACUGUUAAGCUAGAGUCUGGGAGGGGAAGAUGGAAUUAGUUGUGUAGGGGUAAAAUCCGUAGAGAUAACUAGGAAUACCAAAAGCGAAGGCGAUCUUCUGGAACAGUACUGACGCUGAGGCGCGAAAGCGUGGGGAGCAAACAGGAUUAGAUACCCUGGUAGUCCACGCCCUAAACGAUGAAUGUUAGUCGUUUGGUCUCUAGUAGAAUCAGUGAUGCAGUUAACACAUUAAACAUUCCGCCUGGGGAAGACGGUCGCAAGAUUAAGACUCAAAGGAAUAGACGGGGACCCGCACAAGUGGUGGAGCAUGUGGGUUUAAUUCGAANAUACGCGAAAAACCUUACCUGGCCUUGACAUUGAUGAACCUGNNANANAUAGCGGGGNGCCCUUNUGGGAGCCGGNANACAGGNGCUGCACGGUUGCCGCCAGCUCGUGUCGNGAGAAGUNGGGUUAAGUCCCGCAACGAGGGCAACCCUUGUGAUUAGUUACUAACGAUUCGGUCGAGGACUCUAGUCAGACUGCCUUCGUAAGGAGGAGGAAGGUGAGGACGACGUCAAGUCAUCAUGGCCCUUACGGCCGGGGCAACACACGUGCUACAAUGGGGUGUACAAUGAGAAGCGAUACCGCGAGGUGGAGCAAAUCUAUAAAACAUCUCUCAGUUCGGAUUGUAGUCUGCAACUCGACUACAUGAAGCUGGAAUCACUAGUAAUCGCAGAUCAGCUAUGCUACGGUGAAUACGUUCCCGGGUCUUGUACUCACCGCCCGUCACACCAUGGGAGUUGAUUUCACCCGAAGCGGGGAAGCUAAACAGGCUACCCUCCACGGUGGGAUCAGCGACUGGGGUGAAGUCGUAACAAGGUAGC
rnacentral:rRNA from 1 species